rnacentral:rRNA from 1 species
AGUGAACGCUGGCGAUAGGCCUAACACAUGCAAGUCGAACGGCAGCACAGUAAGAGCUUGCUCUUACGGGUGGCGAGUGGCGGACGGGUGAGGAAUACAUCGGAAUCUACUUUUUCGUGGGGGAUAACGUAGGGAAACUUACGCUAAUACCGCAUACGACCUACGGGUGAAAGCAGGGGAUCUUCGGACCUUGCGCGAUUGAAUGAGCCGAUGUCGGAUUAGCUAGUUGGCGGGGUAAAGGCCCACCAAGGCGACGAUCCGUAGCUGGUCUGAGAGGAUGAUCAGCCACACUGGAACUGAGACACGGUACAGACUCCUACGGGAGGCAGCAGUGGGGAAUAUUGGACAAUGGGCGCAAGCCUGAUCCAGCCAUACCGCGUGGGUGAAGAAGGCCUUCGGGUUGAAAAGCCCUUUUGUUGGGAAAGAAAAGCAGCAGGUUAAUACCCCGCUGUUCUGACGGUACCCAAAGAAUAAGCACCGGCUAACUUCGUG